rnacentral:lncRNA from 1 species
AUAAUUCAACCUUUGAUAGGUAACAUCCGAAGCAUAUUCACUGCUGUAAUAUUCCUCAUACUUUUUACGAGUUCUGAUGUUCGACCGUCCGAUCUGUUAUGUACGGAUGUGAUUGUUUUGAUAGAUUUUAUAGCUGAUUUGAUCAGAACCGUUUGAUCAAUAAGCAAUGAUCGAGAUUGAAACUGCGUGAAAACGUGUGAUUUUAUUACAAUAGCAAAUCGUGG